GACGAACCGAGCGAACGUUAUUCGGAAUCACUGGGCUUAAAGGGCGCGUAGGCGGGCCGUCAAGUCAGGGGUGAAAGCCCCCAGCUCAACUGGGGAAGUGCCUCUGAUACUGGCGGCCUCGAGCGAGGUAGGGGCGUGCGGAACUUCCGGUGGAGCGGUGAAAUGCGUAGAUAUCGGAAGGAACACCGGUGGCGAAAGCGGCGCGCUGGACCUCUUCUGACGCUGAGGCGCGAAAGCCGGGGGAGCGAACGGG
rnacentral:rRNA from 1 species